AUUACUAAAGUACACUACAUAUGUUUACCUAUUAUCAAUUAAUCCCUUUUCUUUUAUAAAAAUUCAAAAAUCCCUACUUUUUCCCCAAUUCCUAUUUUCCGGAUACUUUAUUGUGAAAGAAAUCAAACCCAUCUUCCUCAUCCCCAAAAUCUCGCCUAUAAUCUCUCCCACUACCAAAUCAGUUACCACUUUCAAAGCAAUUUGAUUUCCAAACGAUUCAACAGUGUCAAAGUUCAAAAUAGAGGUCUAAAAGCUUGCAUGCAACAACAUUAAUGGCGAAUCGAACUUCUUCCAAGAGAAAAUCGAAAACGAAAGUGGGGUCAUCAUCUAAAGCAAAGGAUGCAAAAACUAAAAAGAAAAGGGGUAGAAAGGUUGCCCCUCCCAUUUUACGACCAACAUUACCCAUGCGACUGCGGAACAUAUGUAGCUGCUUUUGCUGAAUUUCUAAGCGAUGAAAUCAAGGUCCCAUCGAUUCCUUUUCAAAGUGAAUAUCUUCGCUCAAGAUAUGCAACACUGUUAUGGAAAUAUGGUACCGACAAGGCCAAUGCUGG